GUGUUCAUUUUGGUUUCUUCUUUUUAUUUAGCUUUUUGACUUUGCUUAACUUUUAGCGGAAUAGUUUAAUUUGCUUACUUUGCAAUCUUAGUUUUGCUUUCCCUUUUUGUCGCAUAAAUGCAUGCCUUAGCUUGUUAUAUAUAGUUAUAUGCUACAUGUUUAUGAAUGCUUAAUCUGUUGUUUUAGUUUUGCUUUUUUCAUAUGUUUAGUAAAUGCAUG
rnacentral:lncRNA from 1 species